CCCGCCGGCGACCGGCGCACGGGUGAGUAACACGUAUGGAACCUGCCCGCAGCAGGGGGAUAAGCGGAAGAAGUUCCGUCUAAUACCGCGUAACACCGCGGAGGGGCAUCCCUCGGCGGUUAAAGAUUCAUCGGCUGCGGAUGGCCAUGCGGCGCAUUAGCUAGUCGGCGGGGUAACGGCCCACCGAGGCGACGAUGCGUAGGGGUUCUGAGAGGAAGGUCCCCCACACUGGUACUGAGACACGGACCAGACUCCUACGGGAGGCAGCAG
rnacentral:rRNA from 1 species